AUUCCCCUACAAAAAUUCCCAUAUCUCUUUUAAAUAUUUUAAUGAAAAUGACUAAUACAUUUUCCUCUUUCCUGUUGCCACAUCAGUCUGCUCAAGGACGCGCAGUAAGAUGUCAAUGUAAUCACCAGAGGGCCCCAUCUUUGAUUCAACAAAGCGACAGGAUGUCAGAGAGAAGAGGGCAACAAGGCAAUGACAAGGCUACCCAAACAUACUGGAGACCACCAAGCAACCCUCCUCAAAUACUACAGUCUUUACACCCCAACGAGGACCUCCACCAGGGAAGACUAAUAAGAGCUCGCCCCACCGCGGCCCACAGUAGCUUCAGAAGAUGUAAAUCAGAGGAACCAGCCUAUGAAGGUGCUGACCAACCUUUUAAAGGUCUUUUUCCAGAUGAGUCUAGGCCAGUAGAUCCUGGCGAGGGGAAUCGUUCCUGUAGCACCGCGUUACGCAACCCAGUUUCUGGGACUCCACGGGGGAUAAGUGCGAGAGAUGGUCCAGUAUCAGCAGCUCCGUCUGCAGCACAGCAGGAGUGGAGAAUCCCCGCUGUGACACUAAAGAACACUGUCACCCCUCCAGCUGCUGGUUCCACUUGCUACGACACGCUGCCGCCGAUUCGACUUCACAAGCGCAUGCCUCUUCCUACAUCCAAACCAGGGGGCACUGGUGGCUUUGCUUUGCCGAAGCCGAGGUCUUCCCCAGUAUUGCUGGCAAACCAGUCUAAGCUGCUUCCGCCUCCAACUAAAGGCCUUCCCUGCUUUAACAGCAGGCCGCAGGUGCAGGCCCCCAGUGCUUCGUACUUUGUUGCUUCAGCCUCACAGAACUUCAGAGACUUGCAGGGAUACACAAGGAAGAAAGCAGCCAGAGAACAUUCAAACAACUCGUGUCAGCCACAGCCUGGAUCCCCUUAAGCAGCUCACGCCUCCUCAAGCCAAAGAAUCCCUGCGGAGGUGAAAUUUGUUCAUGAGCACAAAGCUAAAGUUACUCCAAUGUUGACAACAGUCCUUUUUUUUUUUUAUUUAUUUUUUUUUCUCUUGGUAGGUUUUCUUUUUGAGUUGUAACAGAACUAGCUCUAAGUACAGUAUAGGCUGGUACACUGCACUUGUUGAUGUAUUGGUAAACAGCUUAAACGGGAUGCAUUAUUUGUUUUUGUAUGACUCACACAACUCCAUUAGAUACAGAUUGCGUUAUUUAUUAAACACAGUUCAGUUUCUACAGUCCCAUGAGACAUAGACACAUUUAUACUGCUGUCAGAGGGAAAACCAGUAAAUGGCAUAUGGAGAGGGUGAAGAUGGAUAAAUGGCACCAGAAUUAUAAUACUGAAAUUAAAAUCAGUAAAUAAAGAAUAAAAACAGCACUACGUAAAAUAAUGA
rnacentral:lncRNA from 1 species